rnacentral:tRNA from 1 species
AGGUUACUGAGGUGUAGAUAGAAACUUUUGAGCUGUUUUGAAGCGUUACGGUUUCGGCCCGUAAGGAAUAA